CACGUAGGGGGCGAGCGUUGUUCGGAUUCAUUGGGCGUAAAGGGUGCGUAGGCGGCGCGGUAAGUCGGGUGUGAAAUCUCGGAGCUUAACUCCGAAACUGCAUUCGAUACUGCCGUGCUUGAGGACUGGAGAGGAGACUGGAAUUUACGGUGUAGCGGUGAAAUGCGUAGAUAUCGUAAGGAAGACCAGUGGCGAAGGCGGGUCUCUGGACAGUUCCUGACGCUGAGGCACGAAGGUCAGGGGAGCAAACGGG
rnacentral:rRNA from 1 species